rnacentral:rRNA from 1 species
UCGUCGGCGCCAUUAAGGUCGAGGUUAUCGCAUAUAAUUUCAACAACGGCAAUUUUUCGAGCAUCAACUUGAAGGUACCUGGGUACGCCAGACGGAAUGCCGUUCAUGACACACCCAAACACGAGGAACCACCACUUGGUUCUACAGCAAAUAAGCCACAGAACCAUUUGGUGGAGACAAUGGAACUCUUUUAAUCUCACAAGUUUCGUCCGGUUACGGACUUAUGUAAUCGUACCUUAUUGCUUUAUCCUGCACGCCAAGAUAAAACAACCAAAGAUCUCAGCGGCAUUACUAAUUAUCCCUGUCAGCCCCCGUAGUCAUAAGUUAACAGUCUCCACUUUAAGAACCUAAAUAACUUCUGAUUGAUGACGCUUUCGUAAACGGUUCCUACAAAAGUAAUUAGUUCUUGCUUUCAAUCCCCUAGCUUCUGCUAGUCUAUGGCAGCAUCAGAAUUGGUAUUUGAUACGGCUGAUCCCUAGCCUACUACAAUUAAAAUAUUACUGAGU